rnacentral:rRNA from 1 species
GAUGAACGCUGGCGGCGUGCCUAAUACAUGCAAGUCGAGCGAACAGACGAGGAGCUUGCUCCUCUGACGUUAGCGGCGGACGGGUGAGUAACACGUGGAUAACCUACCUAUAAGACUGGGAUAACUUCGGGAAACCGGAGCUAAUACCGGAUAAUAUAUUGAACCGCAUGGUUCAAUAGUGAAAGACGGUUUUGCUGUCACUUAUAGAUGGAUCCGCGCCGCAUUAGCUAGUUGGUAAGGUAACGGCUUACCAAGGCAACGAUGCGUAGCCGACCUGAGAGGGUGAUCGGCCACACUGGAACUGAGACACGGUCCAGACUCCUACGGGAGGCAGCAGUAGGGAAUCUUCCGCAAUGGGCGAAAGCCUGACGGAGCAACGCCGCGUGAGUGAUGAAGGUCUUCGGAUCGUAAAACUCUGUUAUUAGGGAAGAACAGAUGUGUAAGUAACUAUGCACGUCUUGACGGUACCUAAUCAGGAAGCCACGGCUAACUACGUG